AAUCAGGUUUAGGAGUUCCCAUUGUGGUUCAGCAGUUAACGAAUCUGUCCAUGAGGACUCAGGUUUGAUCCCUGGCCUUGCUCAGUGGGUUAAGGAUCUGGCGUUGCCGUGAGCUGUGGUGUAGAUUGCAGAUGCGGCUCGGAUCCUGCAUUGCUGUGGCUGUGGUGUAGGCCAGCGGCUACAGCUCCGAUUCAUCCCCUAACCUGGGAACCUCCAUGUGCUGAAAGUGUGGCCCUAAAAAAGCCAAAAAAAAAAAAAAAAAAAAAAAAGGUCUAACUGGGAAGACUAUUUAAACUCUACCUAGAUGCUAACUUUAGCAUUGAAGAUUUCAACAUCUGACUGCAGAGAAAUAGCGCUGAUACAUAUAAUCCAUAUAGAACUUGUGUGGCCAUGCAGUUGGAGCAUUGCUGCCCUUUCUCACAUCACAUUUCCUCUUCUGCAGGGGUGAUCCAGUAACAAGUGUAUUUAUCAUUUUCAGACCAUUCUAGAAAACAGAAGACCAGCCAGGAACCCAUACUCUUGUCCUGCCUCUGGCCAUUGUGGGAGUGAUUACAGCUGCCCUCCCCCAUAGCACUCAGGCACUGAAAAGUUCAAGGGCAUGGAGGGCUUAUCUCUGUCAGCUCUUUCCUUUGGUAGCUGUAGGACAACUGUUAGAAAUCAGAAUGGGAAGAGAGAGGAGGGAGGAGAGUGAGUUGGCUGAAUACCAUGGCCAGAUGUCCAGAAACCAAACCAUAAUCAUCUUUUCAGCUAGUGUCCUUGAAUUCCUUGAGCUAUUCUUGACAUUCUUAUAAACUUGAAUAUCCGUUUAUGUCAUCGGUGUCAAUUCAAAUCAUGGGUUCCGUGGAGCGUUUGAUGAAUGAUCUUCAGUUUUAUCACAGGCAAAUACUUUAGAGUUCAAUCAGUUGUUUUGUUUAAGGAAGCACUUUGGGAUUUUUCCACACAUCUCUUUCUAGAUAAAAGUUUAGUUUUAAGAGCAGUGCUUUGCCAAUCUUUACAGGUUUGUACUUUGGAGAAGUCCCUGCUGAUAUUACUGUAACAUUUGCCAAAGAAACUGCCUAAUGUCGUGUUAACACAAUAAAAAUGAUGACCAACCUUGACUCCA
rnacentral:lncRNA from 1 species